CUGUGGCCUAAAGGGUCUGUUUAGGCCUGGGUUUGCCUGUUUUUGACCUAAAGGUUUGGACUAGAUGGAUAAUUUCUCAGUUGCAUUGAAUGUCAGCAUUACCUGGGAUUUGUUUUUGUAAACUACAGAUCCCUCGGCACCACCACAAACCUAUUGAAUCAGCAUCUGUGGGCCUGGGGUCCUGGCAUCUGGCUGUGUAAUGGACUCCAGCUGGUUUUUGUAUAGCCAGCAUGUCACUGACAUCUCCAGACCCACUUACCUAAAAGUUCAUUCAGUCCAGCAGCCUUGGGCAACCUCUGGCUGAAGACAGAAAGGUAGGUCCAAGAAGGUGGGAGGAACCAGAGAAGGGGAGCCAAUCAGAGGCCAGAAAGGUGGGGGGAAGAACCAGAAAAAGGGAGCCAAUCAGUGGCCAGGAAGGUGGGAGGAGGAGCCACUCAGUGGCCUGAAAGGAGGAAGAGAAGCCAGAGACGGAGAGCCAAUUAGGAAAAGGGGAUACAGCAGGUUGGGAUUCUUCUUGCAAGGGAAACCGAAGCCUUGAUCUGGGCAGGCAGCAAGCUGGACUGGUAUCAGAGGAAAAGAAGCCUACUUUGGCUGCUGCUGUUUGAGUGUGUCUCCCAGCACCAUAAGGCACAGCCAGCUGGGCUGCCUUUGGCUGAAAGCCCAGCAGAGUCAGAAAGAAAUCUGAGGCUGUCAAGGAAGCCUAAGGGUGAGUCUUCAAUGCUGGGCCCAGAGGGAGCAUAACCUCCACCUGGCCUUGUCUGGUUCAUCUACAGCCUGCAGGAAG
rnacentral:lncRNA from 13 species